GAUGAACGCUGGCGGCGUGCCUAAUACAUGCAAGUCGAGCGAACGGACGAGAAGCUUGCUUCUCUGAUGUUAGCGGCGGACGGGUGAGUAACACGUGGAUAACCUACCUAUAAGACUGGGAUAACUUCGGGAAACCGGAGCUAAUAUCGGAUAAUAUUUUGAACCGCAUGGUUCAAAAGUGAAAGACGGUCUUGCUGUCACUUAUAGAUGGAUCCGCGCUGCAUUAGCUAGUUGGUAAGGUAACGGCUUACCAAGGCAACGAUGCAUAGCCGACCUGAGAGGGUGAUCGGCCACACUGGAACUGAGACACGGUCCAGGCUCCUACGGGAGGCAGCAGUAGGGAAUCUUCCGCAAUGGGCGAAAGCCUGACGGAGCAACGCCGCGUGAGUGAUGAAGGUCUUCGGAUCGUAAAACUCUGUUAUUAGGGAAGAACAUAUGUGUAAGUAACUGUGCACAUCUUGACGGUACCUAAUCAGAAAGCCACGGCUAACUACGU
rnacentral:rRNA from 1 species